rnacentral:lncRNA from 1 species
GAAAAUGAUCUACAUCAAGUAAGUUUCAUCUGCACAAAAUUAUAGAUCAUAGCUAUUAAUGGAUCAAUAAUGGUCGAAUUAUACUCUAGGCAGUCCUGAUCUAAAAAUAUUUGCCAUUACCUCCGAAGGUUGAUUAUCUACAAUCAUAUACGUGUGGGUUCCUAUAUUAAUGGUGUCAGGUUCAUAUUUUUUACUCACCUAUGAAAGGCUAAUGCCAGGGUAAUGCCAUGGAUGUUGCUUCCAGUAUUUUCACGUUAAAAUAACAUACUAUACAAGUCCAGAAUCAUACUACAAGUAUAACAUAUCCAAGUGGGAUUACUUGCUGCGAUAUAGAGAAGCAUAGAUGGUGCAUAAGGUGUUGUUCAUAAAAUAGAUUAUACCUAUUAUUGUAGAUCAGAUCUAUUAAUGGAUCAAUAAUGCUUAAUUCAUAAUGUAGGUAGUGCCACUAUAAAAAGGUUUCACAUGUUAGCUCACAAGUUUCAUCACCUAAAAACAGAUACAGAGAAACAUACAUAGAUGGUUUCCAUAUUUGAUCAGCCUCAUAUGUUAUAGUGGGUUUCUGUAGUCAUGGCAUCAGCUCCAUCUGAAACAUAAAUUAAAACCAAUUGUCAAUAAGAUUGUAUUGAUUCAUCUACUUUUAUUUCAUAUAAUCUUCUACAUAAGGUUAAUGCAAUGGAUGUUGCUUCCAGUUUUCACGUGAAGAUAAUAUACUAUAGAAGUCUACAGAAAUAAAUGGGAUUGCUUGCAUGCAUUAUAUUUCUUACUUUACUAAUGACCAUUCUGUUCUUAUAUUUAAAGGGCCUCAAAGAUUAUGGCAUAUACACCAUUGAAUGCAUUGACUACACGAAACGAGACAUGGACAAUCAAAGGUUAAGACUUUGGGACACAAUUAACUUAUCAACUAAUGAGCUCAUUAGCAUUGAUAUAAUUUUAUUGGACAAAAGGGUGCAAGUAUUACAUAUAUAAUGUAACUUCAAUUUAUCCUUUCCAAAGUUUGCUGAUCUUUUCUUUCUAUGUAGGGCCAUGCGAUCCAUGCUUCUAUUGGGAGCAAACUGGUCAAUAAAUUUAAAUCAAAAAUUAAAGAGGACUCCAUAUACAUAAUUAAGACCUUCAAAGUCUUGGAGUAUGAAAAAUACCGACCAUUGAAGAACAAUCUCAAAAUCAAUUUUGUUUAUGAUACAACAGUGAAGGAAGUGGAUGAAGGAAAAUCAAAGUUUUUGAAUUACCACUUCGAAUUUGUUGAUGGCGAUACCUUGGAUAGUAGGGUGAAUAUUGAUAAACAGUGCUCAGGUAUGAUCAUAAUCCAUAUCGAAGAACAAGCAUUGGCGAACUAGCUAGAUUUUAAAAUAUGAUUAUGUAUAGAUGUCAUUGGAUUGCUUACUGCAAUGAAACCAAUAGAGCAAGUACAAAAAAUAAAAGGGACGGGCAUGGCUCAAACUUCAAACAUCCGCGAGAUUGAAAUCCUUUUACUAGAGUAAGUGAUUCUAUUACUAUAUUUUUUUGAAUUGCAUAGAUGAUCUUUAUAUCACUUUUUGAUGAAUAAAUUCAUGCAGAGAUGAAAAGAUCCAAAUCACGCUAUGGGGGGAUAUUUUAGCAAAUACGGUGAACGAAAGUCUUUUGGACAAACAAACAAUAGUGAUUGUCACUUCAAAUUUGGUCAAAAAAUUCAAUGGUGAGAACUAGAAUCUUUUUGUGUAAACUCAAGUCCAAAUUACUGAUAAUUUGUUACCAGGGCUAUCACUACACACAACAAAUGCAUCUAAAGUCUUCCUCAACCCUGAAAUUCCAGAGGCAGACCAAAUUAUUGAGAGGUAUGCUAUAUAAUAAUGCAAUUAUGCAUGUCUUUAAAGUUACAAGUUUAUGUGCUCAUGUUGUGACCUAUUAUAGGUAUUGUGAAAGAGAUGUUAUUCCAUAUGAUUGGAAUCGAUGAAAGCACCCAAGGAACAAUUGAAGAGCAAAUGUUGUACAACAGAAAAACAUUGAGGGAAAUUAUAGAAUUGCGAUAUGCUGAUGUCCAAAGAAAGGUUUCCCUCUAACCUUGAUCAUCAUAUUGUACCUUAUUUAUUGUACAUUAGUAUGUAAUAAUCUCAUAUAUUUUCUCUUUAAUAGGAAUUUGUAUGCACAACAAAAGCAACAAUUGAUGAUAUUAUAACAGAUAAAGGCUGGUGGUACAUGGCAUGCAAACUUUGCUUUGUGCUACAAAAAAGGAACAUGAUAACUACAUUUGCACUUCCUGUCAUGAAGUAGCUCAAAAUCCAGACAAGCGGUGAGCAUGUUGUGCACUAGAUUGUCUUUGGUUCCAUUUGUUUUAAUAAUAUACCACUAAUAACUUGACAACAUCAUAUUAGGUACCUACUUAAACUGAAGGUACGCAAUGGCACGGCAACAACAACUUUCGUGGUGUUUAACGAGGUAGCAAAGAGUCUUUUAGGCAACAUAUCUGCGUCGACCCUAUUAGAGCAGGAGGGAUUCAACAACACGGUACCAGAUGUUAUUCAAAAUCUUUAUGGCAGAACACUCCUAUUCCGACUGAAGUUAAAUUCAAGGAAUCUAGAAGAGUGUAUGGAAAAUUAUAAAGUGAGCUACACUUUUGAAGUUGAUGACAAACUUGAGAUGGAAAAUUCAAAUGAAAUGGCUGAAGAGGUAUGCAUGCACAUUUGAGUAUUUUAAAUGGCUUAUAAAAUUAUAAUAUGAGCACACUCUUUAUAGGGCAUACUGGAAAUGCAAGACACACGAGGUUCUUCAAAUUCUGAUAUGCACAAUUUCCAUUACGAGGUACUCCCACUAAUUAAUGAUUUUGCUCUCACAAGUGUGCAAUUUUUGUUUUUAAAUGUUAAAAAAUAAUUUUCAUUCUUAUAGGUGAACCACUCCUCCAAGAAUGCAACAAAUGAUGAGAAGAAGGAUAUGUGCAGAAAGGAAACCUCAAUAUCAUCCAACAAAAAACAACAACGGAGGACAAAGAUACAGAAGUCUAGCAAAAGAUAUGAAAAAGAUGUGAGACCGGUUGCUUCUAGAACAGUUGUUAAAACUGAAGCUCCUGAUGAUGAGGUAACAAAUUGAAAACAUUAUCUCCCUGUAUCUGCAUUCAUAAUUGAUUUUGGCCUAUUUAUUUAUGACAUAACAAAACGCACAGGAAGAGCCAAAAACUUUUUCGCAGAAGAUAAAAGGAGAGACAAAACAAAAGAGAUGUAAGCAGGAUUUUAAAAGAAAGGCUUCGCGAAAUAAAAAAAGGUUCUUACAGAAAAAUUAAAUAAUGAGGUAUGCUUUGAAAUUACUUUACUAUUUUAUGACAUCGUUGAAAAAAAUGAAAAUGUAUUUGAAAAGGAGGUAGCAAACAUUCAAGCUACAAGUUCAGAUACAAUUACCAUAGAAGAUGAUUCUAAUAAUUACCACAGACAAAACAAGACAGAUGUCAGAAGGCCUACCAACAAGAAACUCAGAAGAGUUAUGAACAAAAUCAAAUUCAAUAGUGAGGAGAAAUGUACAUACUUUUUCUAUAUUGUUUUCAAGAUAAACACAAAGUUCUAUUGUGUUCUAAAUUGACAUAUUUUAUGUAUAGGUACAAGAUGAAGAAGAAGAAGGAGAAGAAGAAGAAGAAGAAGAAGAAGAAGAAGAAGAAGAAGAAGAAGAAGAAGAAGAAGAAGAAGAAGAAAAUGAUGUAACCGUAGAUCCAAGAUAUAACAAAGAUUUCAGAAAUGACAACCACAACGAGGGAUAUAAAAAUCCUGUGACCAAGGUUACUUCUGCGAAGCUCAAAAAAACAAUACAGAAUUAUAGAUGAAUACAUCCCACCUUAAAUAUCUAUUAACAAUAUGCUCUAUGAUGUUCAUUUAAACUACCGCCAUCUUAUAGGUACUAGAGGAAGAAAAUGACAUAGAUGAUGAUUCCGACAAUGAAGAAACCAAUAAUGAGGUAAUAUCAAAUAAAAGGAAAAGGAUUUAAUUUUAAAUAUAUUAUUUCCAAAAUAUAAAAUCAUUGUAUGAAAUAAUAAUCCAUUAGUGUAUUGGUCAUUUCCUACUUUAGUCUAAUAUUAUGUAUGCAUUUCAUCAUAUAUGUAUUACAUAAUACAUUAUUAAAUUCCCACAUUCUAUGUUAUAGGUACAAGAGGAAGGAAAUGACACAGAUGGUGAUCUCACAAUUGAAGAAAGUACAAGAAUGAACAAGGUAAAUACGUUGAUGAUAUACAAGCUUAAUAUCUACCAUGAAUUUAGAGAAAUUUACAAAUGUUUCAUUAAUAACAUUGUUUUUGCAUAUAUGCAGGGAGACAACAAUAGUCAUGCCGACAACUGUACCAUCAAAGGUGACAGUGAUGAAGAAUGGAACGCCAAAACUAGAAGCAAAAUUGGAAGGGAUCGAGAAGAGGUGUCUAGAGGGGGGGGUGAUUAGACACUAAGUACCAAAAAUUGCAGUUUUUAACUUCUUUAAGUUUAAGUGCAGUUUAGGCACAAGUUUAACACUCACAAUACAGAACAAGAAAGCAUGCAAAGAGAAUAUGAGCAGCGAAAAGUAAAGCAUGCAACUUGCAAGGAUGUAAAGGGAAGGGAUUGGAGGAUUCAAACACAACUGGAGACACGGAUGUUUUUGUCGUGGUUCCGAUAGGUGGUGCUAACGUACAUCCACGUUGAUGGAGACUUCAACCCACGAAGGGUAACGGUUGCGCGAGUCCACGGAGGGCUCCACCCAUGAAGGGUCCACGAAGAAGCAACCUUGUCUAUCCCACCAUGGCCGUCGCCCACGAAGGACUUGCCUCACUAGCGGUAGAUCUUCAUGAAGUGGGCGAUCUCCUUGCCCUUACAAACUCCUUGGUUCAACUCCACAAUCUUGUCGUAGGCUCCCAACUGACACCUAGCCAAUCUAGGAGACACCACUCUCCAAGAAGUAACAAAUGGUGUGUUGAUGAUGAACUCCUUGCUCUUGUGCUUCAAAUGAUAGUCUCCCUAACACUCAACUCUCUCUCAUAGGAUUUGGAUUUGGUGGAAAGAAGAUUUGAGUGGAAAGCAACUUGGGGAAGCCUAGAGAUCAAGAUUCAUAUGGUAGGAAUGGAAUAUCUUGGCCUCAACACAUGAGUAGGUGGUUCUCUCUCAAAAAAUGUAUGCUGGAAGUGUAGGUUCGUUCUGAUGGCUCUCUCUACGAAUGAAGAGGAGGUGGAGGGGUAUAUAUAGCCUCCACACAAAAUCUAAUCGUUACACACAACUUGCCAAACUCGAUGGGACCGAAUUGGUAAACUCGGUCAGACCGAUUCGGUAAAUCUAGUGACCGUUAGGAUUUUCGGUGGGACCGACAUGCAACUCGGUAGGACCGAUAUGGUUAGGGUUAGGGCAUAACUUAAUCUCGGUGAGACCGAUUACACAAACUCGGUAGGACCGAUUUUGGUAAUAAGCUAACCAGAGAGUUGGUCAGGAAAACUCGGUUUGACCGAUUACACAAACUCGGUAGGACCGAUUUUGGUAAUAAGUUAACCAGAGAGUUUGCAUUGUAAUCUCGGUAGUACCGAUUACUCUAACUCGAUAGGACCGAUUUUGGUAAUGGACAUACACAGAGAGAUUACAAUCCCAUCUCGGUGAGACCGAGAUCCCUAUCGGUGAGACCGAUUUGCCUAGGGAUUGUGGCAGUGGCUAAGACAUCUGAACUCGGUGGCGUUGGGUGGAAAGCAUCGGUAGGGCCGAGUUAGACUUUUGGGUUUAGGACAUAUGUGGAUGUGAGAAAGUAGUUGAGGGCUUUGGAGCAUAUCACUAAGCACUUUGAGCAAGCAAGCCAUUAAGCAACACCUCAUCCCCUCUUGAUAGUAUUGGCUUUUCCUAUAGACUCAAUGUGAUCUUGGAUCACUAAAAUAGAAAAUGUAGAGUCUUGUUCUUGAAGCUUGAGCCAAUCCUUUGUCCUUAGCAUCUUGAAGGGUUUCCACAUCCUUUAGUCCAUGCCACUCCAUUGUUGAGCUUGUUUGAAACAUACUAGGUAAAAGUGUUAGUCCAACAAGAGAUAUGUUGACAUUCAUUACCAAAAUCACCCAGGGAGCACUUGUUCUUUCAGUCUCCCCCUUUUUGGUAAUUGAUGACAACAUACAUCAAAGCUUUAGAUAAAGAUAUAGAGAAUAGCAAGUAAAGCUUUGGAAAGACGUGUAACAUGCAUAGGCUCCCCUACAUGUAUGUGAAUAUGGAAUAUAGGAGCAUGUGAAUGCAUAAGCAUGAUAGAGUAGGCAAUGUGUUACAUGUAUCUUGGUUAUAUGCAUCAGAGCAACAAAUGUGAAUAUGGGAAAUGUACCUUCAUGCUCAUGAGUCCUUUGCAAACAGUAUGUACAUCAGCAAGAACUCCUCAUACACAUGACUAUGAUGCAUAUACUUACCUUGUGGUCUUGAGUUGGCUUAGGAUGGAAUGAACCUGCGUAAACAAGGUUAGAUAACACAGAUACACCUACUAGCCAGAGCAAAAAAAAGGAACCACAAGAGUACCAAGACUGGGAUGACAUGUAGAGAGUGAGUACUAAGUACCAUAUUGAAUAUGGACAUGUCCCCAAAGGUAAAGAUGUGCAAUGAAUUUAAAGAUUUUAUUUCCCUUAGAUGUCUUGCUCCCCCUGAAUCUAGCAUGGGAUACUGGGAGAAGAUAGGGAACAGAAAAUCAGAGCAAAAUGCAAAAUCAAAGCUCAAAGAAACAAAUGAAUAGAGCUAAUGCAAAUAAGCACAUAUGAAUAUGUCUUCCUCCCCAAGAAGACAUGUGGCAUCUCUCCUCUUGAACACCAAGCAUCUGGGAUCCUUGAAGAUUACUCUCUUCUUGAGUAUUCUCUCCCCCUGGAGAUAUCUCUCUCCCCCUGUUGAAGUGAUAAGCUUUGAUGUGAUCUCUCUCUCCCCCUUUGACAUCAAUUUCCAAGAAGGGUCUGCUGGAAUUUGUCGUAAAUGGAUUUGGUCCUUGAGUCACAGCACAAUGCAUUGAUAAAAAUGUGAUGCUUGUAGAGGAAAAGAUUCAUUGAGUGGUGCUAAAAAUAAUAAUGCAGUGGCAAAAUGUUUUUCUUGUUGUGAAAUCGGUGGCACCGAGUUGGAUGCUUCGGUUGCACCGAAAGGAUUUGGUUAGACCGAAAACAUCAAACCGGUGAGACCGAGUUCAUCGCAGAGAAAACACUUGUCACCUCAAUUCACUAGACAAGUAAGAUCUCACAAGGAUUUGCAAUGAAUUGGAUGCAGGGAAUGCAGAACAGAAUAGAAAAAAGAAAUCUAGAUGAAGUUUUUUUGGGUAGGGGAAACAAAUAUGCAUGAGACAAAUGCAAGAGCAUAGAAAAGAACACGAGAGAACUUCAUCUAGAAUUGGUCGGCGACAAAGUCACCUAUGUUAGAGUAUAUUGACUUAGGAGUCAAGUGAGAUCACUUGAUCAUAGGUCAUACUCAUCGUUUAAGCUCAAAAUGGGGUUACCAUUUUUCGUUUAAGCAUCUUGAUGUAUUCACAUCUUGUCGAGUUGCUUUGACUCAUGACUUGGAGUAAAGCUCCUCUAAGAUGGAAUAACAUACCUUGGGUGGUGGUGUUGAUUGUGAUCACGUAGUUGAACUUGUGUGGGUUGCUCAAGGUUGAUGUAGCUCAUCAAGAGUUUGGAGCACCACUUGGAAUUUGAGUUCACCUACCCACAUGGGUUAGUUUUUGCAAGGAAGAGCACUUGUGUAUCCCAAAAGACAAUCAUGAAGCUUAACAUAGAAUUUGUCAAAGGAUAUGUUUGAAUGGUUUCGUGCUUCCUUGUCUUCGACCACCAUUGUGUAGAGACUUGGUGAUGUAGAGAUUCCUCAAGAUGUGAGAGAGUUGCAAUCCCAUAGAUUUAAAUUCAUCCAAGGACCUACAUGGGUUAGAUAACAUGCAAGGUGCAAAUAUACCCACGACAUAAGAUUAUCAUCAUAAGAGAAAUAUCAAGGAUUAGUCAUAAGCUCAUGUCUUGCAUGUAUCCAAUGGAGUUCCUACUCCAAGUUUGAAGCAUUAAUGAUGUUCAAUUCACCUCUUAACCUGCAAAACACUCUCUCAUCAAGUGGUUUAGUGAAUAUAUCCGCUAAUUGCUUUUCGGUGCGAACAUGCUUAAGAUUAAUGUCACCCUUAGCAACAUGAUCUCGAAUGAAAUGAUGACGAACUUCAAUAUGCUUAGUUCGAGAAUGUUGCACGGGAUUGUGAGCGAUCUUGAUAGCACUUUCAUUGUCACAAAGUAAUGAAACAUGUUUCACAUAUAUCCCAUAAUCUUUAAGAGUUUGGGUCAUCCAUAGUAAUUGAGCACAACAUGAACCAGCGACAAUGUAUUCCGCUUCGGCGGUGGACAAGGAUACCGAGUUUUGUUUCUUGGAAGACCAAAACACAAGAGAUCUACCAAGAAAUUGACAAGUACCCGAAGUGGACUUUCUAUCAACCUUGUCACCGGCAUAGUCCGAGUCGGACUAGCCAACAAGAUCGAAAGAGGCCCUCUUAGGAUACCAAAUGCCAAAAUUAGGUGUAUGGAUUAAGUAUCUCACUAUCCUUUUCACGACCUUAAGAUGACAUUCUUUAGGAGCAGCUUGAUAUCGUGCACACAUGCACACACUUAGCAUGAUAUCGGGACAUGAAGCACAUAGAUAUAACAAUGAACCAAUCAUAGAGCGAUAAACCUUUUGAUCGACCGGUUCACCAUCUUUGGUCAAAUCAAGAUGUCCACUAGUAGGCAUGGGUGUAGUCAUACCUUUGCAUUCCUGCAUAUUGAACUUCUUGAAUAAGUCCUUGGUGUACUUCGUUUGAGAGACAAAGGUACCUUCCUUAGUUUGCUUGAUUUGCAAACCAAGAAAGAAUUUGAUUUCACUCAUCAUAGACAUCUCAAACUUCUCCGACAUUAGCUUUCCAAACUUUUCACUAAAAUGAGGGUUAGUAGAACCAAAUAUAAUAUCAUCAACAUAAAUUUGGCACACAAAUAGUUCUCCAUUGACCCUUUUAGUAAAAAGAGUAGAAUCUAUUUUUCCAAUUUCAAAGCCUUUUUCAAUAAGGAACUUGGUCAAGCAUUUAUACCACGCUCUAGGAGCUUGUUUAAGACCAUAAAGAGCUUUGUAAAGUUUGUAAACAUGAUCAGGUUUCUUAGGAUUAACAAAGCCGGGAGGUUGUUUAACAUAAACUUCCUCCUCUAUUUCACCAUUUAGAAAAGCACUUUUAAUAUCCAUUUGGUACAAGGUGAUAUCAUGGUGAUUAGCAUAGGCAAGUAAGAUGCGAAUGGACUCAAGUCUAGCAACGGGAGCAUAAGUCUCACCAUAGUCCAUACCUUCGACUUGUGUGUAGCCUUGGGCGACGAGAUGUGCUUUGUUGCGAACUACUUGUCCAUCUUCAUCUUGCUUGUUGUGAAACACCCAUUUGGUACCGAUGAUGUUGUGGUUGUUGUCGGGCUUCUCAACCAAUGUCCAAACUUGAUUUCUCUCAAAGUUGUGUAGCUCUUCAUGCAUGGCAUUUAUCCAAUCCGGAUCUUCCAAUGCUUCUUCAACCUUCAUAGGUUCAAUGCUAGAGAUGAAUGAAUAGUGCUCACAAAAGUUAGCUAAACGAGUUUUAGAGCGAGUGAUUCUCCCGGUUUGGAUAUCAUUGUAGAUUUUCUCGACGGGAUGGUCUUUAGAAAUUCUUGCUCGAACUCUUGUCAGCUUUUGCUUGGGUCUUGGUUGAACAUCUUCUUCAUCUUGUUCUUCUUCUUGGCCUUCUUCAUUGUUGGCGUUGUCGUUCUCUUGUCGUGGUGGAGAAGGAGGUUGUUGACGUUCGUCUUGGUGCACUUCCUCGUUUUCUUCAUCUUGGUGUGUCCCACUUGUGGAUGCUUCCGUAUCAACUCUUGGUUAACCUUGUCGUGAGGUAGAAGCUUCCACUUAGACGGAUGAGGUACUCUCCUUCACCUCCGUUGGACUAAUCUUUCCAAUAGACAGGUCUUGAAUUGCUUCCGAGGGGUCUUUGUCUCCUACAUCAAUUGGCAAUUGCUCUACUUGCGAGCCGUUAGAUUCAUCAAACUUCACAUCUACCGUUUCUUCAACCUUUCAGGUGAAAUUGUUGUAGACACGGUAUGUGUGAGAGUUUGAGCCAUAACCAAGUAGGAAACCUUCAUGAGACUUAGGAGCAAAUUUAGAACAACGAUGCUUAUCAAGAAUGUAGCACUUUGAGCCAAAUACUCGAAAGUAUCCAACUUGGGGUUUGUUACCGGUGAGAAGCUCGUAUGCCGUCUUGCCGAGUAGCUUGUGAAGAUACAAGCGAUUUGUUGCAUGACAAGCUAUCUCAACCGCUUCCGCCCAAAAGUGCUUCGGCGUCUUUUACUCAUCAAGCAUCGUUCUCGCCAUUUCGAUGAGCGUCCGGUUCUUCCUCUCAACAACUCCAUUUUGUUGAGGUGUGUACGUAGCCGAGAACUCGUGUGAAAUCCCUUCUUCGUCAAGAAAGGUGUCCACAUUUGCGUUCUUGAAAUCCGUUCCGUUGUCGCUGCGAACCUUCUUGAUCUUCACUUCAAAUUGAUUUUGAGCCUUCCUAGCGAAGUUUUUGAAGAUCUUCUGAACCUGUGAUUCAUCAUCGAGAAAGAACACCCACGUAAAUCUUGAAAAGUCAUCAACUAUAACUAGAUCAGAAGAAUUUCCACCGAGACUUUUGUAAGCGUUGGGACCAAAGAGAUCCAUAUGAAGUAGCUCGAGAUGCCUCCUUGUGGUCAUGAUGUUCUUCACGGUAUGCCUUCCUCCAACCUGUUUACCUGCCUGACAAGCACUGCAAAGUCUAUCCUUAUCAAAUAUGACAUUGAUAACUCCAAGGAUAUGAUUUCCUUUAAUAAGCUUGUCAAGGUUUCGCAUGCUAACAUGACCCAAUCGUCUAUGCCAUAACCAACCUUUAGAGGAUUUAGCAAUAAAACAAGUUCUAGGUUGAGCCUUUUUAGUGAAAUCAACAAUGUAUAGAUCACCUCUACGCACAUCGGUAAAGACCAUUUUAUGAUUAUCUCUACGAAACACUUGGCAAUCUACUUCAGUAAAUAGGACAUUGAAACCGAAAUCAGCAAGUCUAGAUACUGAAAGUAAGUUGUAGCCAAGAGAUUCAACGAUCAUGACAUUUUGUAUGGAGCUAUCAUGUGAUAUGGCCACCUUACCGAGGCCAACCACCUUACCCUUUGAGUUGUCACCGAAAGUGACAUACUUUUGAGGACCAUUGUUUUCAGCAAGCUCCCGAAACAUGUCUUUAUCUCCGGUCAUGUGAUCGGUACAUCCACUAUCAAGAACACAUUCCUUUCCUCCUGCCAUAUAACCCCGAAGAUUUGCCAUAAGACCAAAUUGUCUCAUUGCAUCAUCAAGAUCGAAGUCACUAUCAUCAUCCUCACCAUAGUAUCCAUGUUCAACAUCGUCAUGUGGUGGAUCAAAUCCUAGAGAGGGUGAUUCGUUAGAGUGAGUUUGACAAUGAUCUUGCUUAUGAAUUUUUAUAGCUUCAGAAAUAAUAUCACUAAUAAUUCCAACAUCUCCUUUGGCACGCAUAAGGUUUGUAAGCUCAAACAAACAAUCACCAAACAUAGGAUCACUAGAAUUCAUCUUACUCAAGGCAAUAGACUUAUGGAGAAUUUCAUCAAGAUUUUUCAAGGAAUAAUUUGGAAAACGUUCCUCAAGAAGUUUCCAUAUGGUGUAGGCACACUUAAGAGUAGGCAAACAUCCAAUCAAGUUUCUAGGCAAGCCUCUAGUGAUAAGUUCAACAGUUCUAAGAUUGUGAAUCAUGUCAAUUGACUCAUCAAGAGUAGGAUGCAUAGGAUCAAUAUGAGGUGCACAAGGGCUAGCAAUGUACUUGUUCAAAUGAUAUUGAUUGAAAAUCACAAGCAUCUCAUUUUUCCACUCAUGAAAGUACUCUCCAUCAAGUAUAGGCACUCUAUGUCUAAGACUCCCAAUAGUAGACUCAUCCAUCUUCCUCCAAUGGUGUUUAAACCAAAGCAAUGGAGACCAAAGCUCUGAUACCAAUUGAAAGGGAUCGAGAAGAGGUGUCUAGAGGGGGGGGGGNNNNNNNNNNNNNNNNNNNNNNNNNNNNNNNNNNNNNNNNNNNNNNNNNNNNNNNNNNNNNNNNNNNNNNNNNNNNNNNNNNNNNNNNNNNNNNNNNNNNNNNNNNNNNNNNNNNNNNNNNNNNNNNNNNNNNNNNNNNNNNNNNNNNNNNNNNNNNNNNNNNNNNNNNNNNNNNNNNNNNNNNNNNNNNNNNNNNNNNNNNNNNNNNNNNNNNNNNNNNNNNNNNNNNNNNNNNNNNNNNNNNNNNNNNNNNNNNNNNNNNNNNNNNNNNNNNNNNNNNNNNNNNNNNNNNNNNNNNNNNNNNNNNNNNNNNNNNNNNNNNNNNNNNNNGGGGGGGGGGUGAUUAGACACUAAGUACCAAAAGUUACAGUUUUUAACUUCUUUAAGUUUAAGUGGAGUUUAGGCACAAGUUUAACACUCACAAUACAUAACAAGCAAGCAUACAAAGAGUAUAUGAGCAGCAAAAAGUAAAGCAUGCAACUUGUAAGAAUGUAAGGGAAGGGAUUGGAGGAUUCAAACGCAAUUGGAGACACGGAUGUUUUUGUCGUGGUUCCGAUAGGUGGUGCUAUCGUACAUCCAUGUUGAUGGAGACUUCAACCCACGAAGGGUAACGGUUGCGCGAGUCCACGGAGGGCUCCACCCACGAAGGGUCCACAAAGAAGCAACCUUGUCUCACUAGCGGUAGAUCUUUACGAAGUAGGCGAUCUCCUUGCCCUUACAAACUCCUUGGUUCAACUCCACAAUCUUGUCGGAGGCUCCCAAGUGACACCUAGCCAAUCUAGGAGACACCACUCUCCAAGAAGUAACAAAUGGUGUGUUGAUGAUGAACUCCUUGCUCUUGUGCUUCAAAUGAUAGUCUCCCCAACACUCAACUCUCUCUCACGGGAUUUGGAUUUGGUGGAAAGAAGAUUUGAGUGGAAAGCAACUUGGGGAAGGCUAGAGAUCAAGAUUCAUAUGGUAGGAAUGGAAUAUCUUGGCCUCAACACAUGAGUAGGUGGUUCUCUCUCAGAAAAUGUAUUGCUGGAAGUGUAGGUUUGUUCUGAUGGCUCUCUCUACGAAUGAAGAGGAGGUGGAGGGCUAUAUAUAGCCUCCACACAAAAUCUAGCUGUUACACACAACUUGAUUUACUCGGUGGGACCGAAUUGGUAAACUCGGUCAGACAGAUUCAGCAAAUCUAGUGACCGUUAGGAUUUUCGGUGGGACCGACAUGCAACUCGGUUGGACCGAUAUGGUUAGGGUUAGGGCAUAACUUAAUCUUGGUGAGACCGAUUACACAAACUCGGUAGGACCGAUUUUGGUAAUAAGCUAACCAGAGAGUUGGUCAGACAAACUCGGUUUGACCGAUUACACAAACACGGUAGGACCGAUUUUGGUAAUAAGUUAACCAGAGAGUUUGUAUUGUAAUCUCGGUAGUACCGAUUACUCAAACUCGGUAGGACCGAUUUUGGUAAUGGACAUACACAGAGAGAUUACAAUCUCAUCACGGUGAGACCGAGAUCCCUAUCGGUGAGACCUAUUUGCCUAGGGUUUGUGGCAGUGGCUAAGACAUCUGAACUCGGUGGCGCCGGGUGGAAAGAAUCGGUAGGGCCGAGUUAGACUUUUGGGUUUAGGACAUAUGUGGAUGUGAGAAAGUAGUUGAGGGCUUUGGAGCAUAUCACUAAGCACUUUGAGCAAGCAAGCCAUUAAGCAACACCUCAUCCCCUCUUGAUAGUAUUGGCUUUUCCUAUAGACUCAAUGUGAUCUUGGAUCACUAAAAUAGAAAAUGUAGAGUCUUGUUCUUGAAGCUUGAGCCAAUCCUUUGUCCUUAGCAUCUUGAAGGAUUUCCACAUCCUUUAGUCCAUGCCACUCCAUUGUUGAACUUGUCUGAAACAUACUAGGUAAAAGUGUUAGUCCAACAAGAGAUAUGUUGACAUUAAUUACCAAAAUCACCCAGGGAGCACUUGUGCUUUCAAAAAUAAGGAAGGAAAGGACCGAUUGCAUAAAGAAGAGGGAAAAACCAUCUGAACACAUCCAGUAAACCUUACAUGAUAGACCAAAGAGGAUUAGGAGGGAGCCAGAGAGAUACAUGGGCUAGGCAUGAGCAACAAGUGCUUAAGUACGAUAGCUGGAAGAAGUGAAGAUUGCACUACACACUAUAUACUUAGUAGUAGUUUGCCUUGAUAUACAAUUAUGUUUACUUUAUGCUAUAGGAGAGCAUGGUUUGAAGUUAUCAUAUGUACUAAGACAUAUACUUCAAUUAUUUUUAGUCACACUCGCUUGUGUCGUCUUUAGCAUAUACCUCAUUCAACACUAAAAGCGCCCUUAAAGAAAUAAAUAUUGUCUUACUUUUAAGUAUUGAAGAAAAUCGAAGGAGGCAUACCCAACUGGACAUGUAGAUCCAUAGCAUGCUUGGAACACAAACGUUCCCGAAAAAACACCUCAAGAUUGACAAAUGCCUUUCUUACUCUUCAUGUCAGUCAUGAUAUCACCUGUCCAAAUCAAAUAAAUAAAUAAAAUCUAAACAAGAGAAUAAACUAACUUACUACUCCCUCCGUCUAAAAAUAAGUGUCAACUUUGUAUCAACGGAUGUACAAAGUUGUACUAAAGUUGAGACACUUAUUUUGGGACGGAGGGAGUAUAAAAUAGACUAAAGAAAAACUAUUAGGGAUUACUGUAAUACUUCUAAAUGGUUGUUGGCUUGGAUGCUCGGCCAUGUAUAAAUCGUGAACAUCAUCGUACGAACCAUGCCAUUGGUCGCUUCUCCAUCUCCAUUUGCUAUUUUUAACAAGCUGAAUUCAAAGACACACACCGCAUGGUGACGCACAAGAUGCGCUGGUCAUGGUUUUUGAGUCGCUGAUUAGUCGCUGUAUAGUCGCCGACUAAUCGCCAAGUCGUUUUUCAAAAAUCAGGGCGACUCGCCAAGUCGCGACUCAAAAACCUUGGCGCUGGUAAAGUAUAGAUUAUGACCUAAGAGGUUAUGGAUUGGGAAUAGUUGUAUUUUAGAGAAGAGAGAGAGAGAGAGAGAUGGUGCAUGUUACGUUGGUUUCUGGGGAAACAAUAAGGACUGAUGUGACUCGACCUAGACAUGUGGCCAAAAAAAACCCAUGAAACAACACUUCCACGCUGCUAAGUCCAGGAUGGCCCAAUUUAAAAGCACGUUGGAUUAGAGUCUAGUACGUAAACACACGUAACAAGAAUACCUUAAGAGAUCGUACAUAACUAGGUUAAAGAAAGAAGAGACAUGCCUAUAUAAACAACUGCCGUGGCAUAAAUAGACCUAAAACUCAAUCUCUUCUCAGGAACACCAACAAAAUCGGCAGAACAUACGCUUUCAAUUCAAGGUACGACAACACAGUCAAACAACUUCUAAAUUCAGGUAUGAUUCUUCUCCCUCUCUCUUAAUCCUUAGUUACAAUCUUAUUCUAGCAUGCUACUCUACUAUAUUUUGGGGUUGUGUGGCGGCUCCCAUAGGGCUAAAGUCAAUUAAGAAGCACAGGGCACUGCAGUAUGGAAUUCACUUGCAGUUUAUAGAUCAGAUGAGGGUUCCCGUAAUAUUUAGCAUCACUACCUCAUUAAAUUUGUCCAAAAAGAAACCUCAUUAAUCAGGUAUACCACAAUGUUUGUACUAAGAAAUACUCACAAUGUUUAGAUUGCUUCAAAAUGUUUGUCCAAAAGAAAUUUGUCCAAAAUUCAGUCAUUAGAUUGCUUCGGUCAGCUUGUACUAAGAAAUACUCACAAUGUUUAUGUACCACAAAGAGAUUGGAACAUAAAAUCCUCUUUAUCAGUAAAUAUUUCUGCAAAAUCACUGGUCUUGAAAAUCUAUCUCCUUUACUUAUACAACGGAAAAUUUAUUUUAUAAGGUGAUGAAAGGUAAUAAAAAUAGUGAAUCUUCAUAAAUUUGUUUUAUACCAUUGUGACAAGCGGGGCCGACGACCAAAGUCUCAAGUGCGAGCGCAAUGUACUCCCCUGUACAACAAGCACAUAAAUCUUAAUCGUCGUCCAUAGCCCAACCAAACCAUGAUUUAUCUGUAACAAUAAUAUAAUAUCAUUCACUUAGGUUUACAUUUGAACUCUCCAUUAUGCAGGAAGACAACAUGAAAAGAAAACGUGGGCCACAUAGCAAGGAAUGUGAGAAACCUGCCAAGGUCGUUAAAACAAAUCAAAUAUGCACUCCAACAAGGUGAUCCAUUACUAAUAUUGACUAUUUUAUAUGUGCUAUACUAGUAAUUUUUAAAAAACAAAGCAAUUCCAGUUAGGCACGCUGAGGUUCCUAAUUGUGUAGCUUCCACGAGAAAAACUAUAUUUUAAUUUUUAUCUUAUUGAUGCAAAUCCAGAGAAUCAGCAAAGAUCACAAGAUCGGAAAGGGUAAUGAAACUUCAAGAAAAGAAAAACAGACAAUCUUCAAUGAUACAUGGAGGUCUGCCAGACUCCGCGGACACACACAAAGGACAACCUUUGCUCCAUGUGAAGUAAGAAAAUCUUCACGAACUUUCUCUCUUAUGCUGUUACGCAUCUUAUCAUCCAUUUGGUUUAAUUAUAAUUCUCAAUUCAAAUGCUAAAAUUUAACAUUAAUGAUGCACAUCAUACAGCAAGAAACAUUAUGUACCUUUCUUAUGCUAUCCACAUCUACUCUGCUAUUUAUGUGCUGAAAUCUUCAAGCGCACUAAUUUAGAAUGGUCCAUCAAAUCUCAAAAAAUGAUAUACGUAUCAAUGAACUAUAGCCAACGCAAAAAAAUGUUAAAGUAACACAAGGAGUAAUAAAUUCAUUCUGCCAGACAAAAAAUAAUCUGUUAUUUAUACUAAUUAGUAUUUAUGUUUAUGCAGGGGAAGUAACUCAACAGAAAAAGCAAAAGAGGCAAGACUACAUAGGAAAAGAAUAAUGCAAACCAAGAGGCUUGCACAACCAUCGACAAAAGAAGGAGAAAUGAUUGGUCAGGCUGGUAAUACUAUGAGGUAAGGAACAAGAAAUUACAAUCAAGCUCUAAAAUUUGGAGUUUCAUAAAUCCGAUAUUUUCUGCUAUGUACGUGUACAGCUCAAAAAGUAAUAAAAUGUCUACUACAUCGAAAUCGGUGAGAAAGAAACAAAGACAACAUUUGUAAGUUAUAUCAACUUUUUAUAGUAUCAACAACACCAGACAUUAAUAAUAUUUCAAUUUAUGCUAAAUCCAAAACUUGAACAGGCAAUCAGAGAGGACUCAUAUGGAAAAUUGGAACUUUGGAAAACCCAAAUGCAAGUGUGAAUGACGCGGUGCAAUUUUCUGGUACGAAGAAAGAACUUCAGGUAGAGCGAAAAGCAUGCCAUCUUUUGGACUAUGCUGCCAACAUGGCAAGGUUGAGUUGCCACCAUUAAGAGAGCCACCGACUUACCUAGCGAAAUUGCUAAGGAAAGACAACGAAAAGAUGUCAAAACAUUGCUUGCAGAAUAUCAGAUUGUACAACUCCAUGUUCGCUUUCACAACAAUGGGAGGAAAAGUAGACAAAGAAAUAAACAAUGGCAAUGGGCCAUAUGUUUUUAGAAUGAAUGGGCAGAACUACCACAGAAUAGGUACUCUAUUGCCUGAAGGUAAAGAUAAACCACGUUGGGCACAACUGUACAUCUAUGACACUGAAAAUGAGGUAAGAAACAGGAUUAAUGCUUCGACAAGGGAAGAUAAAAGGGAGUCAAUAGAUCCUCACAUCGUAGAGGGCCUUAAAAAUAUGUUUGAUCAAGAUAACAUACUUGCAAAAAAAUUCAGAAUGGCAAGGGACAGAUUCGAAGAAGGUGACUAUCAAAACGUGAGAUUAAAACUAAUCAAUAAGCGACAAUCAGAUGGAAGACGAAGUGACAUGCCAUCUGCAUGGGAAGUUGCAGCCUUGAUUGUCAAUGAUGCCACGGAAAGUAGAAAAGGACGGGAUAUCAUUGUUGAGUACAAAAACAUGAAGCCAAGAAGAAUAUCAGAGAACCAUCCAAAAUUCAUGGCUAUGCAGUAUCCACUAUUAUUCCCCUAUGGAGAAGAUGGGUACAGACAAAAUAUACCUUACAUAUUAAAACAAGGUGCAAAAUGUAAGAGAAAGCAUGUAACAAUGUUGGAAUACUAUGCAUAUUGUCUACAACAACGUACUAACCAAUCGAUGCACUUGCUGAUGUGUGAAAAGCUUACAUUGCAGUUCAUUGUGGACGCCCUUGCAUGCAUUUUGCAGUACAGACUGGACUGGAUCAAAAAUCAUCAAGGAAACCUAAGAACGGAAUUAUAUGCUGGCUUACAGGAUGCAAUAGAAAGAGGAGAUACAAGGGCUGACCAAGUAGGAAAAAGGAUACUGCUGCCAUCCACUGUCACAGAUAGUCCUAGAUACAAAGCACAAAACUUCCAAGAUGCUAUGGCAAUAUGUCGGUGGGCUGGAUACCCAGACCUAUUUGUGACAUUCACGUGCAACGCAGCUUGGCCGGAGAUUGAGGCUAUGCUACACGAAGUGGCCCAAACAGCAUACGAAAGGCCUGAUAUUGUUGAUCGAGUAUUCCACAUAAAGCUCAAGGAGUUCAUGAGAGAUAUAAGAGAAAGGGAAUACUUCGGAAAAACACUCGCAAGUAAUAUAUCAUCCUGAAUUUAUCAAACAUAUUAUUUAACUGCAUGAACUAACUGUUAUUUUAUAAAAUUGCAGUUAUAUACACAAUAGAGUUUCAAAAAAGAGGCCUCCCACAUGCCCACAUAGUCAUAUUCCUCGACAAAAAGGAAAAGAAACACAAGUAUCCAGAGCCAUCAGAGGUAGAUAGAGUAACUUGCGCAGAGAUACCAGACAAGGAAAUUGACCCGGAAGGAUAUGCAGCUGUCGAAAACUACAUGAUGCACGGGCUAUGUGGUGCAGCAAACACAAAGUCACCAUGCAUGGUCGACAGCAGAUGCAUAAGAAAGUUCCCAAAAAAUACAACAACAAUACCACUAUCGAUAAAGAUGGAUACCCAGUAUAUAGAAGACGAGACGAUGGAAGAUUCAUACAGAAAGGGGAAGUAAAGUUGGAUAACAGAUACGUAGUCCCAUACAACAGAAAUCUGCUGGUGAAAUAUCAAGCACAUAUAAAUGUCGAGGUGUGCAACAGAUCUUUAUCCAUAAAAUACCUUUUUAAAUACAUAAAUAAAGGUGAUGACCAAGCAACAAUACUAAUAGAAAACGAUGAGAUAAAAAGGUACCUAGAAUGCACAUAUAUAACAGGGAAUGAUGCGUGUUGGAGAAUAUUUCAGUUCGAAAUGCACUUCAGAGAUCCCUGCGUCGAAAGGUUGCCUUUCCACCUGGAAAAUGAGCAGCAAGUAAUUUUCUCAGAUUCUACAGAUUUAACCAAGAUCGUCAGGAAAGAAAGAGUAGGAAUCACUAAAUUUACACAGUGGAUGGAGACAAACAAGAUGUGUGAACAAGCCAGAGAAUUAACAUAUGCAGAAUUCCCGUCAAAAUGGGUGUGGAAAAAGAAAGAGACAAAGUGGAGCAAAAGGAAGAAAGGAAGAUCAGUUGGAAGGAUAUAUUAUGCCCAUCCAGCAAGCGGAGAAAAAUACUAUAUGCGAAUGCUACUUAACGUCAAGAAAGGAUGCACAUGUUUCGAAGACAUAAGAACAGUAAAUGGAGUUGUCCACGCAUCAUACAAAUCUGCUUGUGAAGCACUAAGAUUUCUUGAUGAUGACAAAGAGUGGCUUGAGUGCAUCAAGGAGGCAUCAAAUUGGGCGACUGGCAACCAGCUAAGGCAGCUAUUCACAACAAUUUUAAGCCACUGCGAAGUCACAUGCCCAAAAAAACUGUGGGAAUCAUGCUCGGAGGUAUUAAGUGAAGACAUGGAGUACAAACAGAGAAAAUUAUUGAACUAUCCUACACUAUGCCUCACAGAAUCACAGAAGCAAGGACACGCCUUGGUGGAAAUAGAGAAGCUCAUGAGACAAGCUGGAAGAACACUUAAGGAAUACCCUGGAAUAGAACUUCCUGAAUCUUCGGAAAUAAAGGAACUUGGAAACAAGCUACUCAAUGAAGAAAUUGAUUACAACAAAGAGCAACAAAAUGAAGAGCAUUUGAAGAUCUUUGGUAGUCUCAACUAUGAACAACGUCUUGCAUUUGACUCAAUAAUGGAAUCUGUUGACAAUGAUUUGGGAAAACAAAUUUUUGUGGACCGAUAUGGUGGGACAGGUAAGACAUACCUAUGGAA